rnacentral:rRNA from 1 species
UACGGGGGGGGCAAGCGUUGUUCGGAAUUACUGGGCGUAAAGGGCGCGUAGGCGGCUUUUCAAGUCGGGCGUGAAAUCUCCGGGCUUAACCCGGAAGGGUCGUUCGAUACUGUUGAGCUAGAGUGUGGAAGAGGCAACUAGAAUUCCGUGUGUAGCGGUGAAAUGCGUAGAUAUGCGGAGGAAUACCUGAGGCGAAGGCGGGUUGCUGGGCCAACACUGACGCUGAGGCGCGAAAGCCAGGGGAGCAAACGGG